AUAAGAGGUCCCGCCUGCCCGGUGACUAUUAGUUUAACGGCCGCGGUAUUUUGACCGUGCAAAGGUAGCGCAAUCACUUGUCCUUUAAAUGAAGACCUGUAUGAAUGGCACCACGAGGGCUCAACUGUCUCCUUUCUCCUGUCAAUGAAAUUGAUCCCCCCGUGCAGAAGCGGGGAUUCCCCCAUAAGACGAGAAGACCCUAUGGAGCUUCAGGCACCAAAACAGACUAUGUUAAGCACCCUAACACAAAAGACAAAACUAACUAGACCCUGUUCCAAUGCCUUUGGUUGGGGCGACCGCGGGGAAACAAAAAACCCCCACGUGGACUAAGAGCACCCUUCACUCUUACAACCAAGGGCUACAGCCCUAAGUAACAGAAUCUCUGACCAUAAAUGAUCCGGUACAACCGAUCAACGAACCGAGUUACCCUAGGGAUAACAGCGCAAUCCCCUUCUAGAGUCCCUAUCGACAAGGGGGUUUACGACCUCGAUGUUGGAUCAGGACAUCCUAUUGGUGCAGCCGCUAUUAAGGGUUCGUUUGUUCAACGAUU
rnacentral:rRNA from 1 species